UUUCAACUUACAUUAUUUUCAAAUUGGAUUGAAUAGGAUUGAAGACAUUCAUCAUGCUUAAUAAUAAAAUAAAUACACAACAAAUAAUGAUAUAAAAUAGACUUUUUAAUAGUGUACAAUAUUUACAAAAUAAAUAGACAAUACAAGCAUUUUCAUCUUAAAGCACAGAUCAAAUCUUCAGGUUGAACAAUGAACUAAAAUGAUGGAAAAACAGAAUAGAACAGAAGAACACAAUAGGGACCUGAAUGGAUGGGGAGACAAGAAGGAAGAGAUUUAGUAAAACAAACAAUGAAGCUAAGAAAUGAACUAAAUUGUAAUGAUAGAAAAAAUAGCAUCAAAUGGGAAAAUGGAAAAAAUAUUCAAACCUAUUGCUAAGGCAAAGAAAAAGCUGCAAAAGGAGAAAAUUAAAAACAUUUUACUUUUCUAAAUAUGGAGUUUUUAGGAAAAUUAUUUUAAUUGGGAUAGAAAAGGAGAGAAUAUAUAAAAGAUUCAUUAGAGAGAAUAUUGAAAAUUUACUACAUUGUAUUCUAAAAAAUUUCUUGUAGAAGACCA
rnacentral:lncRNA from 1 species